CCGCACAUAGCUCAGCGGUAGAGCACUUGGCUGUAGACCAGGGGGUCGCCUGUUCAAAUCAGGCUGUGCGGA
rnacentral:tRNA from 1 species